rnacentral:lncRNA from 1 species
GUCGGGCCCAAACCACCGCCCACUGCGGGACCAGCUCGGUCGGGCCCAAACCACCGCCCACUGCGGGACCAGCUCGGUCGGGCCCAAACCACUGCCCACUGCGGGACCAGCUCGGUCGUGGAGACCCUAACCCAGCGGCGCUAGAGGAAUUAAAGAAACACACACAGAAAUAUAGGUACCUCGCAAGGGUUUUUUGCAUGUCUGAUACCUACGGCUCCAACAGGACCCACUGACUGAUGAUGGCUCCACCUGGACCUGCCAACUACUCCUGCAGCCCCACCCAGAAGCGGUUCAGCACACGGGAGGAUCCUGUCUCACACCCUACGAUGGCCCCCCGCCCCCACAACCCAUCAGCAGCAAGCACCCACUGCCAAGCUACCCCACCCCUUCCCCCAAACUACCUUUGGAACACCCUAGUCCCCAAAUUCUUGGGGAGACUGAUUUCAGUAAUCAUC